UACAGAGGGGGCAAGCGUUGUUCGGAAUUACUGGGCGUAAAGGGCGCGUAGGCGGCCUGUUAAGUCGAACGUGAAAUCCCUGGGCUCAACCCAGGAACUGCGUCCGAUACUGGCAGGCUUGAAUCCGGGAGAGGGAAGUGGAAUUCCCGGUGUAGUGGUGAAAUGCGUAGAUAUCGGGAGGAACACCAGUGGCGAAGGCGACUUCCUGGCCUGUUCUUGACGCUGAGGCGCGAAAGCUAGGGGAGCAAACGGG
rnacentral:rRNA from 1 species